rnacentral:rRNA from 1 species
UACGUAGGGGGCUAGCGUUGUCCGGAAUCAUUGGGCGUAAAGCGCGUGUAGGCGGUCCGGUAAGUCCGCUGUGAAAGUCGAGGGCUCAACCCUCGAAUGCCGGUGGAUACUGUCGGGCUUGAGUACGGGAGAGGCGAGUGGAAUUCCUGGUGUAGCGGUGAAAUGCGCAGAUAUCAGGAGGAACACCGGUGGCGAAGGCGGGUCUCUGGGCCGUAACUGACGCUGAGGAGCGAAAGCAUGGGGAGCGAACAGG